rnacentral:rRNA from 1 species
CCUACGGGUGGCAGCAGUGGGGAAUAUUGCUCAAUGGAGGAGAGCCUGAACCAGCCAAGUCGCGUGAAGGAUGACUGUUCUCGGGUUUGUAACCCUCUUUUUUAUAGGAGUUAAUUACGGUAUCUAUCGCGUAAUCAACGUCUAACUCCGUUCCAGCAGCCGCAGUAAUACGGAGGGUGCAAGCGUUACUCGGAAGUACUGGGCGUAAAGGGAGCUUAGGCGGGUUAGCAAGUCAGAUGUGAAAUCCUAGGGCUGAAACAGAGAAAUGCAUUUGAAACUGUUAGUCUAGAGUAUGUGAGAGGUAGGUGGAAUGCGUGGUGUAGGGGUAAAAUCCGUAGAGAUCAAGAAGAACACGCAUUGCGAAGGCGACCUGCUAGAACAUAACUGACGCUGAUGCGCGAAAGCGUGGGUAGCAAACAGGAUUAGAUACCCCGGUAGUC